GGUACUAGUUUGAUGGAGUUUUGAUACAUUACUGCAAGUAUUUAUCGUCGUAAGUGGUUACCCAUUAUGUAUCUUUGAAUCUUAAAAUUUACCGACAGGUUUUAAUUUUGUUCAACGAAGUGUUAGUAGGUAUCUACUUAUAUCUUGUCAUAAAAUCAGCUGAAAAAAAAAAUGAGAACAGCCUUAAUUUUUAUCAUUUUGACUAUAUUCGUGUCCAUGGGUAUUGAAAUCCCAGAAAAUAUCACAUCAAUUAAAACUGAACUAAAUUCAUUAAGAGCAGAAAAAGACUUACUGGAAAAACAUUUCCGGGAACUCAAAGAUGAGCUUGAUAUUAUGAACGCACUUAUUUAUAGGAACUUUACCUGAUACUUUGCAUUCUAAAGAAAACAACGCGAAUGAUCCAAGUCAGAACUAUGGCGUUGGUCUAAUCAAUUUAAGGCUUUCUGUUAAAUCCGUUAUUGUCUUAUUAUCUAUGUAAAUAAAAAAAUACGAACUGAU